UUGACCCAACCCUUGUCAGUGUCUUUUCAAGCUUCAUCUGGGGAAUCUGGACGAAUAGCUUGAAGAAUAGUGAUGGUGGAGGCGGGUUUAGAGACAGAAUGGGCCAAGGUGGGGAUAAGCAAUGUUCUGGCAUCUACAUUACAACCUCAGGACCAAAAAACAUCAUCCAUUUGCAUUGCCACCUUCCUAUGAUUCUAUCAGCAUCUCUAAACCCACCUCCACUACCACCAUUCCUCAAGCUAUUCCUCCAGAUUUACCCAAAUGAAGCUUGAAAAGGCACUGCCAAGGGGUGGUCAACGAGUCACAGUAAUAGAUCAAGUGUUCACCAUCUCUAAACCUUCUUGAAGUGUUGAAGCACCAAAGAGUUAUGGUGGGUCAAGGUGGGAAUAUGCAAUGUCCUGGUGUCUACAUUACAACCUCGGGACCCAACAACGUCAUCCAUUUGUGUUGUCAACUUUCUAUGAUUCUAUUCAGUGGCAAAUGGAAGAAAAGAAGAAAAUUUCAAACUUGCAGUACUGAAAUCUUCCAAUUUCAACUUUGGGUUUGUUUGAUUGUUAAGUUUGUUUAGCAAAAAUUAGGAUUCGUUUAAUUGUUGAAACCUUAGAGUUUAUUUGGAGAAAACUUGGGUUUAUUUAGUUGUAAAUUUUGGGUUGUUGAAGAUUGAUUGUUAAAAUUUUCAUUUGAAUGCUAAAAAGCAGAUAGAACUUUUGAAUUC
rnacentral:misc_RNA from 1 species